GUUUCCUGGGUUGUGUGAAUUAUGGGGGUGGAGAAGCAUACAAGCUGACAUUAGGAAAAGGAACCUUGCUGGUGAUCAAGCCAGAUGUUACUCCAUCUCCUUCAGUCUACAGGCUGAUCUCUGAAGAUGAUGAGGAUUUGGAAAUGUGCCUUAUCACAGAUUACUCCCCUGAAAAGCUUACUCUUAACUGGGCUGAUAAGCAAACAAAUGCUGUUGUGGAGGUGGCAACAUCUGAGAACAAACAUGAAGCGAGCUACCUGUCAACCUACUGGGCCAAGAAAGAUGAAAUGCAGUGUGCUGCAAAUCACGAGGGCUUUGGAGAACUGGAGGGCGAGGAUCCUGAAAGUGGUGCCAGCACUGUCUGUGUUACAGGGGUGUCUCUAUAUUUCAGGACAGAUGAAAACCUGAACAUGCUGUCUUUAUCACAGCUGGGCCUGAAAAUAAUUUUAAUGAAAGGAAUAAUUUUUAAUGUGCUGAUGACGAUGUUUAUGUGGAAAAAAAAGAAUGAAAGUAACCAGACGAUGCAGUCCUGA